CAAAGGUGAGCCAGUACAGGAUGGACCCGCGUCUGAUUAGCUAGUUGGUAAGGUAACGGCUUACCAAGGCGACGAUCAGUAGCCGACCUGAGAGGGUGAUCGGCCACAUUGGAACUGAGACACGGUCCAAACUCCUACGGGAGGCAGCAGUGGGGAAUAUUGCACAAUGGGCGAAAGCCUGAUGCAGCAACGCCGCGUGAGUGAUGAAGGCCUUCGGGUCGUAAAACUCUGUCCUCAAGGAAGAUAAUGACGGUACUUGAGGAGGAAGCCCCGGCUAACUACGUGCCAGCAGCCGCGGUAAUACGUAGGGGGCUAGCGUUAUCCGGAUUUACUGGGCGUAAAGGGUGCGUAGGCGGUCUUUCAAGUCAGGAGUGAAAGGCUACGGCUCAACCGUAGUAAGCUCUUGAAACUGGGAGACUUGAGUGCAGGAGAGGAGAGUGGAAUUCCUAGUGUAGCGGUGAAAUGCGUAGGUAUUAGGAGGAACACCAGUUGCGAAGGCGGCUCUCUGGACUGUAACUGACGCUGAGGCACGAAAGCGUGGGGAGCAAACAGGAUUAGAUACCCUGGUAGUCCACGCUGUAAACGAUGAGUACUAGGUGUCGGGGGUUACCCCCUUCG
rnacentral:rRNA from 1 species